GCGCUCUCGGGCAGCUGCAGCGGCCACCUGGAGAGCAGUGAAGCCAGUGCGCCGCCCACCUGGAAAGAUUCUCUCUAGAUCCAAAGAAAAACAAGAGGGUUCUUUUUGCCUUCUACUCCUCAAAACACACCAGCAGCUCAGCAAUUGGAGGGGAGGCUGAAGGACAAAAACAUUGCUAUCCCAUAGAGCAACGGUAUAAGAGCCAAUAGAGACUCCUGGCGCUGGAAGUCACGGAUCCGAAAGAAGGCGCCCAAUCAUUUGGUUUCUUUGGAUCGUUAUUGAGUCUUCUGUCAUCAUAGUUCACCCUCCUACUCGAAUGCCUCCCGUGGGGCCCUUACCCUUGCUCUCCUCUGCCUGGAAUGCCCGCCUCUUCUUGCAUUCAAGCCCCUGGGUUCUAUUCAGAUGCUCCAGUUACAAAUGAUAGAUCCAAAAUUGUCUUCUGGAAGAAACAUCACAAAACUUCAAAGAAAUUAGAAAAAAGUUACCUACAUAGGCAGAGAAUUCAACUGUGAGUUGACAAUUAUUUACGAUUCUCUUAACUGGCUGUUUCACAACGUUAUGGAGCUAAGAAAGGAUGAAAGCUUACCACUGCUUGGAUACCAGCUUGAUAAGCAGCUUGGAAUGUCAAAUAUAUAACAAGAAAGGAAAUAUUCUACUUUAAAGGAACAUGGGGUAAUUCUUGAGUUAUCUCACAUG
rnacentral:lncRNA from 10 species